UGGAUCCAGACCUUGAUCCUGGCUCAGGAUGAACGCUAGCUACAGGCUUAACACAUGCAAGUCGAGGGGAAACGACAUCGAAAGCUUGCUUUUGAUGGGUGUCGACCGGCGCACGGGUGAGUAACGCGUAUCCAACCUGCCCACCACUUGGGGAUAACCUUGCGAAAGUAAGACUAAUACCCAAUGACGUCUCUAGAAGACAUCUGAAAGAGAUUAAAGAUUUAUCGGUGAUGGAUGGGGAUGCGUCUGAUUAGCUUGUUGGCGGGGUAACGGCCCACCAAGGCAACGAUCAGUAGGGGUUCUGAGAGGAAGGUCCCCCACAUUGGAACUGAGACACGGUCCAAACUCCUACGGGAGGCAGCAGUGAGGAAUAUUGGUCAAUGGACGAGAGUCUGAACCAGCCAAGUAGCGUGCAGGAUGACGGCCCUAUGGGUUGUAAACUGCUUUUAUAAGGGAAUAAAGUGAGUCUCGUGAGACUUUUUGCAUGUACCUUAUGAAUAAGGACCGGCUAAUUCCGUGCCAGCAGCCGCGGUAAUACGGAAGGUCCGGGCGUUAUCCGGAUUUAUUGGGUUUAAAGGGAGCGUAGGCCGGAGAUUAAGCGUGUUGUGAAAUGUAGACGCUCAACGUCUGCACUGCAGCGCGAACUGGUUUCCUUGAGUACGCACAAAGUGGGCA
rnacentral:rRNA from 1 species